rnacentral:lncRNA from 1 species
AAGAAGGCGUCCUGGCUGCCCGCGAACCGGUCGACGAUUGGCGCCGUUGUCCCCACCGCGAGUGGGUCUGACUUGAGUUCCUGGUCGGAUUGGAGGAAGCCACGAUUCACCUUCAGGUUGGUGAAGUAGUUCUUGUCGAACUUGUCGGGUGUUGUCGGGUCGAGGUCGUUCAGGGACUGACCGUUGCCGUUCAUUGGGCAUCGCUGGGACAGGAAGGCCCUAUAGCUCGGGCUGAGGGUCGGGUCGGGCCGGUUCGUCCCAUUAAAGUUGUACAAUCUAUCGGUGACAAACUGGCAUUGCACACGACCGAAAGUGUGUGCGCCUACACAUUUAAAACAAAAAUAAGGUUAAUAUUAAAGAUGAAACAAGGACCAUGUAUAAGAAUUCUCUCGAUUUAUAUAUCGGUAUUUAAACUUGGGUUUCUUCUGGAGUUCUUAUGAUCAGUUUUUUCUUGAGUUUUAUUAUCGCUUAUAUAUCUUUCAUCGUCAAUAGUAUAUACAUAUAUUCUCACAAAAAGUGAGGUGUGUAUAUAUAUAUAUGAAGGUAGAAUUACAGAGAGGAGAGGCCGGAGUGCUAUCUUCUUUUUCAUCAAACGAAAAAGUACAAAGACGGUGUCCUGAAAGUAGUGUUAAGGUUUCUAAUUUCGGAAGCAAAAUAAUUUUAGACUUCACCGAAAUAUCUUAAAUUUUGAAACUUUCACAUAUUUUGGAAAUUAUUUCCGCUUUUCAGAUUUCAAUUUUCACUCAAUUUUAAUGAGUUCUAACGUUAUUUUCUAUUAUUUUGAAAUCAGUUUGAAUCCGCCUCGAAAUUUCGGGAUAAAUAUAUUCCAAACCCCGCUGAAAUAGGCAAAAGUUCGUUGAAUUUUGAACCCACCGUUACAUCAAGUUUAUUGACAGUAUUUAUAGUAUCUUUGGAUGUAGUUGUGCUUGUGCGCGAGCUUGGUUACCUGAGAGAGCGACGAGGUCGGUAGUACCGUCAAGCGUGGCGAGUUUGAACUUGUCUGUCAGGUUUUUCAGGCCGUCGAAUGGGCCUGGUAGGUUCCCGGCUUCCGUAAAGUUGGACGUGAAGCCGUCCAGCCUCCCCAGCAAGACGCUCCACCCAGGUCCUCCAGACUGCAUACGCAUAUAUGCCAACUUAAUUAGCGUCCAUUCCUUUGUUACCAUCGACUUUUGCUUGGACAGUUGCAUGCAAAUAUGGCGAAUCCUAACUCAUAUCCUCUACGUUCAGUUGCAUAUGCAUGCAUGUAUAUAUGAUCGUUGUGCUAUAUGCAGGCACUGAGGGAGAACACUCGUUAAACCACGCAGGCCGAAAGCUACAUAGGACCUACUACUACCAAUCAUGCUCGUGGAAAUGGAACUCGAAAAAGGAAAAA